rnacentral:lncRNA from 1 species
GCACAGGGCUUGUGCAGCCUAGUUACUGUCAGUGACAUUAGCAACUUUGGGCUGUUUGCUUUCCCUUUGCUUGCCUCCUGGCACUGAAACCUCAUUAGGGCUCUGACAGAAAAGAGCUCAUCAGUUGCCAGGAAGGCUACUCUGGGCUUCCACUGCCUGUUGCCUAGCAGGCUGACUGAGUAUGUACACUGACCCCAGGUCUCCACUGGAAGCCAGCAUCAUCAAAGCUGAUGUAAUGUGAGCCAGAAGCCCUCAGCACCCCCUGGGUGUUCUUCCAUCUUGCAUGAGCCACCCGGAAAGAACAGCAGCUUGCUUGGGUUCUGUUUGAGGGUCUACUGGCAAAGGCACAGAGCCAAUGAGGCUGGGGAAAGGUGGGGUGUUUAACCUACAUAGGAAAAGCUUUUUCCUCAAGUACUGCAGUGCAUUUCCUUUGCUUGAUGAGUGGCAAGCAGGUCAAAUGGGAUGUCCCCCAGGCAUCCAGUGGGCAGCACUUUGUUUUUACUCCAGUGAACUCUGCAGUCACAUGGAAGAGGCUGCAUAGCUCCAAAGAAGGACCUCUUAUGCUUGACGAGGGUGUAGCCCCAGUUCCUAGGCCCUGUUCUACUCUGAAUGGAUCUAGGCCAGUGCAGAGCUGUCUUGGGACCUACAAGUCUUCAUCAAGGAGCCUCUAGACAAGUUCGUCUCCUAAGCAUCAAUUCCCCCCAAAGCAGGAAGAGGAUGCAAGCUCAGAGACUAGCUAAACCAGGCUGCAGGGUGCACUGGGAGCUGGUGGCUGAGCUGGGAGUCCUGCCCAGGUGGGAAAGCUCACCCUUGCACUUGGCAUCUGCCAGCAUUGGAGCAGCCCGAGCUGGAACAUGUUCUCAAAGGGUUGCAGUUGAAAAGAGGUUGCUCGAUGCGCUUCUCCUCUAAUUUAAACAGAUACGCGCUUACUAUUCGCGCUUACAAGAGGUGAGUAUUUUUUACAGCUGGAGCAAUUCUCCCAUUUAAAAAUGAAUACACAAGUUCUCGGACACUUUGCUAUGAAGCAACCUUCUGUUUCAGCAAACUCUUUCUUUCCUAUUGAUUUUCCUCUUAAAAUCAAAGCACUCGACUGUUGUAAAAAGAAAUUGGCCUUUAGAUUUAAAAAAAUUACCCAGGGAUGUGGCAACCCACUCUAAAUACUUGUUUAAGGAGAAAAACGAAAAGCACUCGGAUGAAAUAUUAAUAAGAGUUCUGAAAAUAUUAACAUUGUCUGGUGCUGAAAAAUGAAUAUGCAGAAGUAAGAAAAGUGAGAGCAAGUCUUGGAGUCUUCUCCCCUGACUUCCAACCUUCCCUCACGCUGACCCACAGACACUUCACAGAGAAGUCGGCCUAAGCAAGCUUCAUCCCCAGUUACAAAUACCACAUCUUCAAGAUUCCUCCUGAAUCAUUCUUUACAAAUACCACAACUCCAAGAUCCCCCCCCCCCCCGAAUGUUCUUUAAAGCACCGCCAGCUUUUGCAAUCAUUAGAAUUCACUGGUCUCCGGAGCUGGAGAGAUGUUUAAUGGGAUUGGGUGCAUUUACUAUAACAAGCAUGAAGAACUGAGUUUGGAUCUCCAGCAAUGGUGUGCACUUGGUGUGGCUGUGUGUGGCUGUAAACCUCGGAGUAGAAUAGGAGAUGGAGUGUGGUGGCCCUGGGGUUUGCUGGCGGCUGGCGGGAUGGGGGGAGGGCAGUGUUUCCAGGUUCACUGAGAGACAAUGUCUCAAGGGAAUAAAGUAGAGAGAGAAUUGAUAGAGCAUGGGUGGUCUCUAUGAAUGUGUGCUUGCCUGUGUACCCUCUUGUGUGCACACCAUACCCUCCCCCCCCCCACCCUCCAUCACUGGCCUCUCUUCUGCAGGUAUCCUUGGAUGCUUACAUGACUAUGGGUGGGUUCACUUCCUCCUUGAACAGGCUUUCCCUGAUUCUGACAGGCAGAAGUUGGCUUUUCUUUCCUGGACCAAUGUAAACUCUCACUGGAGCUCUCUUGAGACCAUAAGGACUGGCUGUGGCCAGUUUCAGUUCAGAUAUCGCUUUUGUUUACUGAAUGCUCCUUCACUGCAGAAGUCCUGGCUGAUUCCCACUUAACAGGGAGAAUAUAGGAAGCAUCAGAUUUAGAGUCAUGAGUUCAAGUCCCAUUGCUGUCGUUCACGCAUGUGCCAUGACCUUGUUGGAAUUUUUUUUUUUUUGGUUUUUUGGUUUUUUUGGUUUUUCAAGACAGGGUUUCUCUGAAGCCCUGGCUGUCCUGGAACUCACUCUGUAGACCAGGCUGGCCUCGAACUCAGAAAUCUGCCUGCCUCUGCCUCCCAAAUGCUGGGAUUAAAGGUGUGCGCCACCACGCCCAGCAGGAUAUUUUUUUUAACUGCUAUCAUAACUCUCCAUACUGCCCAGCAGAAGUUUGUUGUUGUUGUUGUUGUUGUUAUUGCCCCUUGCACCUCACUACAGUGACUCUAGAAUCCAAAACUUUAUUUACUGCAGGCCCACACUAGAUUCCUGAAAGGAUGUACAGAUCCGGGCACAUGACAUGCAUUUCCUAAUCUCCUGUCUUUAUCUUUGAAAUUCAGAUAGCGGCAUCUCCCCUCCUUACCUGUAUGCUUUAUAUCCCUUAGAACUUGCAAACAGCCCAGGAAGGCAGGGAUUGUUAUCAUAUUCUACUUGGAUGAGAAAAAUGGAAUUCUAGGGUGAGUUUUCACAGACUGAAAAAGAAUGGAUCGAUAUCUAGACCGAGGGCCACGGAUGCCAAAUCCAGUGGCACCUAAAGUCUCUCUGGGUCCUCUGGAGAGAUUAAGUGGAGAUCUCCUCAUAACUUAGUCUGCCUCCACAGGGGGAGGCAGUAGUGGCCUUGGUCCUGAUCGCUAGCAGGUUCUGAGGCUUGGCACUGUCUCCUCUUUGUGAUUCUGAAAUCAUGCCUCUUGGAAAGAUUAUGUUUUCCAGCAAACUCAUCUGGAGAACUUAUAUUAGUCUAGGAACUCUGCCGGUUGCUAUGGCUGACAUGAGGAAUGUAGGGUCUGCUUAGUGUGUGUGGGUGCCACGUUUGAGUCAACCUUGUUUUUGCAGGCUUCCACUUCCAGCUACGGCUUUCCUCUCUUAAUAAUGUAGGCACUCUCUCGUCUCCAUACUCCACGUCUGCCCACCUGCAUCCCGUGCCCAGAGCUUCACAGGAUAAGCCGCCUGUAGUCACAGACACAUUGAGAAAUACUUAGGUGCAGAUGAGAAAUGGUUGCCACAAGUGUUCCUGGAGACAAGCAGAGAUUCACAGCAAAUUCAUGAAGUCAUUUCCCUGGGGGGAAAUUACCUCUCUUCUCUCUUCAUAGCUUUCCCUUCCCUCUUCCUGCACAGAGCAGUCUUGUUACCCUGUGUCUCUCUGAGACUCCUGUCAUCUCUCACAGCCCUGGCCGCUCAGUUCUCAUCACAGUCCCUCAAACAUGCCUGGAACUCUGCCACCGCAGGGACUCUGUGUGUCUUUAUGAAGAAUGUCUGUGCGAAUAAUCUCAUUCCAAUCCCUUGUUAUGAGUAUGCAUCUUUCUACACUCUUUUCAUGUGUUAAAAUCCUAAUCCCAGCAUAAUUGCCAUCUGCAGACUGGGGCCUUCUGGAGGUAGCUUAGGUUGGAUAAUAAAAGAAAGGAAACCUAAAUGUGCCCCCUUUUAAACCUUGUUC